rnacentral:rRNA from 1 species
UACGUAGGGUGCGAGCGUUGUCCGGAAUUAUUGGGCGUAAAGGGCUCGUAGGCGGUUUGUCGCGUCGGGGGUGAAAUCCUACGGCUUAACUGUGGGCUUGCUUUCGAUACGGGCAGACUAGAGGUAUGCAGGGGAGAACGGAAUUCCUGGUGUAGCGGUGAAAUGCGCAGAUGUCAGGAGGAACACCGGUGGCGAAGGCGGUUCUCUGGGCAUGAUCUGACGCUGAGGAGCGAAAGUGUGGGGAGCGAACAGG